GAUGAUCUUCGAGGCCUUCCAGUUCCCUGGUACGCACGAUUUUAUCCAUGAAUCAAGCUCGCAGUCAUUGUCAAUCUCUUCACCCACCGCACAGGCGUGACCUGGAUCCAGCAUUCCAGCACUGGUGAACGUGAACGGUUGACGACGUCCUCUGUUUUUCCCCGACGAGUCUUGGCCUUUCUGAUAACCAACCCCGAACCUAUCUGCUUUCACAGCAAUGUCUACCAUUCUUCCCCAGCCUUGG
rnacentral:lncRNA from 1 species